rnacentral:rRNA from 1 species
UGGGGAAUUUUGGACAAUGGGCGCAAGCCUGAUCCAGCCAUGCCGCGUGUCUGAAGAAGGCCUUCGGGUUGUAAAGGACUUUUGUCAGGGAAGAAAAGGCUGUUGCUAAUAUCGACAGCUGAUGACGGUACCUGAAGAAUAAGCACCGGCUAACUACGUGCCAGCAGCCGCGGUAAUACGUAGGGUGCGAGCGUUAAUCGGAAUUACUGGGCGUAAAGCGAGCGCAGACGGUUACUUAAGCAGGAUGUGAAAUCCCCGGGCUCAACCUGGGAACUGCGUUCUGAACUGGGUGACUAGAGUGUGUCAGAGGGAGGUAGAAUUCCACGUGUAGCAGUGAAAUGCGUAGAGAUGUGGAGGAAUACCGAUGGCGAAGGCAGCCUCCUGGGAUAACACUGACGUUCAUGCUCGAAAGCGUGGGUAGCAAACAGGAUUAGAUACCCUGGUAGUCCACGCCCUAGACGAUGUCAAUUAGCUGUUGGGCAACUUGAUUGCUUAGUAGCGUAGCUAACGCGUGAAAUUGACCGCCUGGGGAGUACGGUCGCAAGAUUA